CUGCUAUUUCUACGGAUAUUGGUUUAGCCGCGCGCGCGUCUGACCUCUAUCCGGUCAGGCGCCCGCUUCGGGACGCCUGCCGUAGAAUCCUGAAACCCCGGCUGGUCGUCCCGCCGGGGU
rnacentral:sRNA from 1 species